rnacentral:rRNA from 1 species
UACGAGGGGGGCUAGCGUUGCUCGGAAUCACUGGGCGUAAAGCGCACGUAGGCGGAUUGUUAAGUCGGGGGUGAAAUCCUGGAGCUCAACUCCAGAACUGCCUUCGAUACUGGCGAUCUUGAGUCCGGGAGAGGUGAGUGGAACUCCGAGUGUAGAGGUGAAAUUCGUAGAUAUUCGGAAGAACACCAGUGGCGAAGGCGGCUCACUGGCCCGGUACUGACGCUGAGGUGCGAAAGCGUGGGGAGCAAACAGG